AGGGUUAUGGUAUGUACUAGGGUGUGUUCGUUCGGGGAUGGCGACUAGUUCUUCGAGCUUUCGCCGGAGGGGAAGAUGGCGGUGCGGCCCUCGGGGAAAGAGGGGAUGCAUCAAGCGGUAUUUCUGAUUUGGGCCUCUGGAAGAUGGAUUUGAGUGAUGAUGUGUACCAAUUGCUUUCUGAAGUGAAGCAUAUGAAUCUGAUGAUGGAAACUGUUGCAACGGCACAUUCGGAAUAUGCCAAUAUGGAAUGGCUACCCUUGCCUGCAGUCCGUAGGAUAGGAUGAGCUGAUGAUGAGCAGCUGCAGCUCGCAGGAUUAUUUAUUUGUCGUGGAAGCUGGUGUGCAACGUCUACGAAUUCGUGUACCAGACUACCCUUAUAUAUAAGUACUCCGUAUACAUACAGGUACGCGCACGGUCGGCCACACCUUGAGCUGCACGAAUGUUAUUCGCGUUGGACGAGGCAGGUGUUCCUUGGACUGAAGAAGAACACCGGAGGUUUUUGCUUGGAUUGCAAAAGCUUGGCAAAGGUGAUUGGCGAGGAAUCUCUCGUAAUUUCGUGGUCUCAAGAACACCUACUCAAGUAGCCAGUCAUGCUCAGAAAUAUUUUAUACGCCAAUCCAAUAUGACCAGAAGGAAAAGAAGGUCUAGCCUUUUUGACAUGGUGCCAGAUGAGUCUAUGGACCUUCCACCACUUCCUGGAGGUCAAGAACCAGAGACCCAAGUAUUAAAUCAACCAGCACUACCUCCACCGAGGGAGGAGGAGGAGGUAGAUUCUAUGGAGUCAGAUACUUCUGCCGUUGCAGAGAGCUCUUCCGCUUCUGCUAUCAUGCCAGAUAAUUUGCAGUCGACCUAUCCAGUGAUUGUUCCAGCUUAUUUCUCGCCCUUUUUGCAAUUCUCGGUUCCUUUCUGGCAAAAUCAGAAAGAUGAAGAUGGUCCUGUGCAAGAAACACAUGAGAUUGUCAAGCCUGUUCCAGUUCAUUCAAAGAGCCCAAUCAACGUUGAUGAGCUUGUUGGCAUGUCGAAGCUCAGCAUAGGAGAGUCCAAUCAAGAGACAGUGUCUACUUCUCUUUCAUUAAAUCUGGUAGGAGGUCAAAAUAGACAAUCAGCUUUCCAUGCAAAUCCACCAACAAGGGCACAGGCAUGAUCUCCUUCUGCACACAACUGCAUUUAGAUGAAUCCCAGGCAAAAUAAGCUUUGCCUCCUUGUUUUUUUGUUUUUAUUUUAAGAUUAACCGUUCUCCGUAGUCUGUAUCAUGUGCUGUAAGUUAUGCUAUGUAUGAAUGUAUCUGUUGUUUGUCUGGCACACAUGAUAAAUCACUCUAUGUUAACAAAAUCAGUAAUGGUAGUGCUGAUCUUCGUGGUUGUACUGUUGUAAACUCUUUUAUAAGAAAAAAAAAUAUUAGUUAGUCAUUUUGAAGGGAUCUCAGUUCA